CAACAGGGACAGAGAGACUGGCCCAGCAGGGGCUCUCUGGGCCAACUGAGCAAGGUGACAGGGCCCAGGAAAGGAGCUGUUGCCUGCACAAGGACAGAUGGAGUCAAGGAAUCAGUGUUCGUGGGAUCCUGGCUGUCCCCACAGUGUCGUGGCUGAACCUUACAAGAACAGAAGCAAGUGAAGCACAGGUAGCCAGCCACCUCAUGGGGGAAGUAUUGAUAACGAAGGGACUCAAAGCAGCAUAGACAUGGGAUGCUGAGGGGCCAAGUGAGCAGAGCAGAGAGUGAGUGCUGCAAGUCCUCGGAGGGGUCAACCGGGACCCAAGCAUCCAGAAAAGGCAGGGACCAUGCAAAGGGGUCCGAAAAAUGAGACCUUCAGUGGAAAGCACUGAGAAGACCAUUAUUCAUUACAAGAGAGGAUUUGGAAUGUUCCCAACACAAAGACAUGAUAAAUGUUUGAGGUGAUGGAUAUGCAGAUUACCCUGAUUUGAUCAUGACACAUUGUAUGCAGGUAUCAAAAUAUCACAUGGGCCCCAUAAACAUGUAUUGUCAUGGGAAUUUGUCUUUGUCAGGAUAGCCUGGAUGGAUCAACUGUGGACAGAUGUGACCAUCUUCUGCCUAAUGCUAUAACGAGUAGCAAGAGCCCCCACUGCCACAGCUAGAGAUGGGGCUGAAAAGCCAAGCCCCUCUGAGAAACGAAACAGGGCUUGAAUUCAGAGUGAGAUGGAAAAAAUUGAGAUGAAAACUUUUCCUGCCAGCAGGAUCUGCUUAUUUGGGAAUGCUCUGUGCCCAGAAUCACUGUCUGCCAGGCUCUGGCCAACCUGUAGCCUCUCUGUGCUGAAAACGACCCGCUAAAAAAGCCAAGAGGGAAGGACCCAGCACACAGCCGUGAACCACAUAUACACGAAGAGCCCAAAAGCCCCUUUCCCAUUCCCACUGGAGCUUGAGCAAUGGGGCUGGAAGGAAGGAAAAAGAACCAAAGCGAACACUUCGGCCCUUGGGUUUAAGAUGACAGAAGGAUCUCUGAACACUUGCUUUGGACGGUCUGGCCAGCAAGUUUAACAAGGCCAUUCCACAGGCAGCUGUAAAAUUCAAGAAGUAUUUUAUACACUCACGGCUUCAAUCUGGCAGAUGUGCUAAGGGGGUAAGGAUGGAAGAGUGAGAGAACUUGGGAAAGGUGAUUUAAUAACAGUUAAUAAUGAUUUUUAACCAACCACCUUACGCCUAGAUACACAAAGCCAGGUGUCAGUGCAGAAAUCAACCUGGUCCUAGGUCUAAGGGUAAGGAAAUACUGGCUUUGUUUUCUGCUCUCUUACAAAUAAUAUUUACCUUUGUGCUAGUUCACAUCUUGAUACGGUUAAGCACAUGUUUCCCUGUGGUUUAAUAUUUGAAGGAGUUGGAGCAACAUAAUAGCCUAAAGUAAAAAAGAUAAACUUUAAAUCAAACGGAAACCUUUUCCAGCAACUUCCACUCUUGUGAUACUGAACUGAACUGAAGCAGAAGAUUUUAAGAGUUGCCUGAAUCCUUUGGAUUAACCUGUUUAUUGACUUAAAAACUCUAAUUGUGAAAUUGACUUAAAAAUUCCUAAUUGUGAAAGAAGGGGUCUCUUCUUUGGCAUGGCACUCUCACUAACAAUUUUCUUGGUAAGAGGACCCAACAAACAGCAAUAGAAAUAGAAAACUAUGGAUUGCUAGGUGAGAGUAUUUUUUAACCUGCUUCAAUCUACAACUGCAAAAUGAACUGGCCCAAUUUAAUUAGAAAAAUUUCACAGUUUCUGACCACUGAUCUACAUUACUGAAAGGUUACAUGUGAAAUAAAUGUGGG
rnacentral:lncRNA from 1 species